UUAUGGAGGCAUGUGGACCAUGUUGUCUCAUGCCACAUGUGUGGGCAUUAUCAUUUAAGUUUAUUAAUUAUUCGCAGAGACCUUACAAAGUAAUACAUCAAUUAGUUUGAACUCACCAUCUUGACAACAUCUCACACUACUCCUAUCCACUUGGGGCGUGUUUGGUUGCCUAGAGUGAAUAGUAUCUGCAUUUCAGCCACAUCUCACCAGAGCGUGGUUCAGGAAAAACAUGCAACAAACCAGGAUCCGCAUGUUGUUUGGUUGCUUGCAUUGCAUCAAUGGUCACUUUAGGGCCGGUUGUUUGAUUGUCCACAUUUGUGCUUAAGGGAUGAGCAGAUGCAAACCACAAUUGUUUAGUUGCAUACACGUAUGUGUUUUGCUCACCCCAAAUGUGGUGGCCCUACCACCAUAUUAG
rnacentral:lncRNA from 1 species